UACGGGGGGGGCAAGCGUUGUUCGGAAUCACUGGGCGUAAAGGGUGCGUAGGCCGCACGGUAAGUCAGAGGUGAAAUCCCGGAGCUCAACUCCGGAAUGGCCUCCGAUACUGCCGUGCUCGAGGACUGGAGAGGAGUCUGGAAUUCACAGUGGAGCAGUGAAAUGCGUGGAUAUUGUGAGGAACACUAGUGGCGAAGGCGAGACUCUGGACAGUUCCUGACGCUGAGGCACGAAGGCCAGGGGAGCAAACGGG
rnacentral:rRNA from 1 species